rnacentral:lncRNA from 1 species
UGGUGACCUUCCCUGGCCAUCCUGAAGGCUGCUUGCCGUGACAGCGGGGACCAGGUCACGCGGCUGGGCGGCAGCCUGCUGGGAAGGUCCCCAGACGCCCUUCCUCCCCGCUCUGUCGUGUCUCAGGAAGUUCUGAAGAGCAGGUUCCUGUUUUCUGAGAACACUCCUGUUUUCCGGGUGAGCUGCGGUUCUCGGCCUUAGAGGACUUCACAGCUCAGCCAUGAAAGCUUUUUUCCAGGGGCCUCAUAUCUAAACAAGGCUUUCACAGAGGUUUUCAGAAGAUGCUGUACACAUGUGAUCCUAAUGAUUCUAAUGAUAACAACCCACCUGCACCAGUUAGCAAUGACGUUUGGUGGAGAAAUCAGAGGAGGGCAAGCUGGAGCUCCGUGUGGCAGUCCUCCAAAUCAUGAGGAACCCAGGUUAUGCCUAGACUUCCGCUCUACCGUCUUCAUGCUCCUGCUUACACUGGCCGCUGCAGUGCCAAACAUCACACCCAUGUUCUAGACAAGAAGGAGGAAGCACAAACAGCAAAAGAAACACACUGCCUGAGGUGUCCUUAUAAGAGGAGGAAAUGAGGACACAGACACACACGGAGGGACAACCACGUGAGGACACAGGGAGAAGAUGGCCAUCUACGAGCCCAGGAGAGAGGCCUCAGGAGAAACCAGCCCUGCCGACACCUCGAUCUGAGACUUCCAGCCUCCGGAACUGUGAGAAAUAGACAUUGCGUAAGCUGCGCGGUCUGUGGGAUCUGUUACAGCAGCCCUAGCAGACUAAAUGUAUGUUCUUUCACAGAAGCAACCAAGAACGAUCCAGCCUAUACAGGAAAGAAAGAGAAAAACGUGCGGUUGACUAAAGAGUUAACUUAAGUGUAAUUUCUCACACAUCAAGCUGCCAUUCGCGCACGGUGGAGUUCUGUAACUAGCAUUUAACUCUCCUCGCCAGUAAUUGGAGCUGGCUGGGGCAAACGCCUGUGUCUUAGUUCGGCUCAGAUGCAUCGAUCCUCUCCUUCUGUCUGGUCCUUCUUUGAUUCCAGAUUUUCCUUACCGGUCGCAGAGAGCCUUUCAUCUCAUCACCCGGCAUUCUUCAAGCUCCGUGUUUAAGUGUGGGUUUCCAUCAGCUACCUUUCUAGAUGCUGGUGAAAGCAGGACCUGCGCAACGUCGAAAUGCCCAAUGCUUCCCUUCCCUCGAGGGCUGUGAGGAUUUGAUGGAUUAAAGUCUGUGUGAAGAAUGUUACUGGCAACUGCUGCCCCCUCCACUUCCGCUAACUGUCCUGAGGACUCCCUCCAAUAGGGCCGAUCGAUGCUCAGCUGAGGCCCUUCACGGUCAUAAGCUGAGAGCCCAUCAUAUGCCAGAGACUGUUUGGCUCUAGGGAUAGAAAAAUUCAGAGGUGAAUAAGAUCCAGCCCCUUCCCUCCAGGAGCUCAGAGUCUAGUCAUGUCAACAAAUACGUUGCAUAAAGUAUAUGAUAAAAGGUACAG